AUUGAACGCUGGCGGCAUGCUUUACACAUGCAAGUCGAACGGCAGCACGGGGGCAACCCUGGUGGCGAGUGGCGAACGGGUGAGUAAUAUAUCGGAACGUACCCGGAAAUGGGGGAUAACGUAGCGAAAGUUACGCUAAUACCGCAUAUGCCCUGAGGGGGAAAGCGGGGGAUUCGCAAGAACCUCGCGUUUUCGGAGCGGCCGAUAUCGGAUUAGCUAGUAGGUGAGGUAAAGGCUCACCUAGGCGACGAUCCGUAGCUGGUCUGAGAGGACGACCAGCCACACUGGAACUGAGACACGGUCCAGACUCCUACGGGAGGCAG
rnacentral:rRNA from 1 species